GAUGAACGCUAGCUACAGGCUUAACACAUGCAAGUCGAGGGGAAACGAUAGAGAAAGCUUGCUUUUUCUAGGCGUCGACCGGCGCACGGGUGAGUAACGCGUAUCCAACCUGCCCAUCACUUGGGGAUAACCUUGCGAAAGUAAGACUAAUACCCAAUGACGUCUCUAGAAGACAUCUGAAAGAGAUUAAAGAUUUAUCGGUGAUGGAUGGGGAUGCGUCUGAUUAGCUUGUUGGCGGGGUAACGGCCCACCAAGGCGUCGCUCAGUAGGGGUUCUGGGAGGAAGGUCCCCCACAUUGGAACUGAGACACGGUCCAAACUCCUACGGGAGGCAGCAGUGAGGAAUAUUGGUCAAUGGGCGAGAGCUUGAACCAGCCAAGUAGCGUGCAGGAUGACGGCCCUAUGGGUUGUAAACUGCUUUUAUAAGGGAAUAAAGUGGGAGUCGUGACUCUUUUUGCAUGUACCUUAUGAAUAAGGACCGGCUAAUUCCGUGCCAGCCGCCGCGGUAA
rnacentral:rRNA from 1 species